CAUUGAUAAAAUUAUGGAUUCAAUGUUUAUCAGAGAAACUGAUGAAUAUGAAAUAAUUGAUAUAGUUCAUAAACUAAAAGGAAAAAAUCUUCUGAAUGUGAUAAUUUUGACAUGUUUUUGAUAAAAAAA